UACAGAGGGUGCGAGCGUUAAUCGGAAUUACUGGGCGUAAAGCGUGCGUAGGCGGUCGCGUAAGUCGGGUGUGAAAGCCCCGGGCUCAACCUGGGAAUUGCAUUCGAGACUGCACGGCUAGGGUGCGGAAGAGGGAAGCGGAAUUUCCGGUGUAGCGGUGAAAUGCGUAGAUAUCGGAAGGAACACCAGUGGCGAAAGCGGCUUCCUGGUCCGACACCGACGUUCAGGCACGAAAGCGUGGGGAGCAAACAGG
rnacentral:rRNA from 1 species